rnacentral:rRNA from 1 species
UACGUAGGGUGCAAGCGUUAAUCGGAAUUACUGGGCGUAAAGCGUGCGCAGGCGGUUCGCUAAGACCGAUGUGAAAUCCCCGGGCUUAACCUGGGAACUGCAUUGGUGACUGGCGGGCUAGAGUAUGGCAGAGGGGGGUAGAAUUCCACGUGUAGCAGUGAAAUGCGUAGAGAUGUGGAGGAACACCGAUGGCGAAGGCAGCCCCCUGGGUCAACACUGACGCUCAUGCACGAAAGCGUGGGGAGCAAACAGG